GAUGAACGCUGGCGGCGUGCUUAAUACAUGCAAGUCGAACGAAGCGCCUCUCCCGAAGAUAGACCCAGCUUGCCGGGGAUUGAUUCACCUGAGGUGACUGAGUGGCGGACGGGUGAGUAACGCGUGGGUAACCUGCCUUAUACAGGGGGAUAACAGUUGGAAACGACUGCUAAUACCGCAUAAGCGCACAGUUCCGCAUGGCACAGUGUGAAAAACUCCGGUGGGAUAAGAUGGACCCGCGUCUGAUUAGGUAGUUGGUAAGGUAACGGCUUACCAAGGCAACGAUCAGUAGCCGACUUGAGAGAGUAAUCGGCCACAUUGGGACUGAGACACGGCCCAAACUCCUACGGGAGGCAGCAGUAGGGAAUAUUGCACAAUGGGGGAAACCCUGAUGCAGCGACGCCGCGUGAAGGAUGAAGUAUUUCGGUAUGUAAACUUCUAUCAGCAAGGAAGAAAAUGACGGUACUUGACUAAGAAGCCCCGGCUAAAUACGUGCCAGCCGCCCAGUAA
rnacentral:rRNA from 1 species